rnacentral:rRNA from 1 species
CCUACGGGUGGCAGCAGUGAGGAAUAUUGGUCAAUGGACGAGAGUCUGAACCAGCCAAGUAGCGUGAAGGAUGACUGCCCUAUGGGUUGUAAACUUCUUUUAUAUGGGAAUAAAAUGUUCCACGUGUGGGAUUUUGUAUGUACCAUAUGAAUAAGGAUCGGCUAACUCCGUGCCAGCAGCCGCGGUAAUACGGAGGAUCCGAGAGUUAUCCGGAUUUAUUGGGUUUAAAGGGAGCGUAGGUGGAUUGUUAAGUCAGUUGUGAAAGUUUGCGGCUCAACCGUAAAAUUGCAGUUGAAACUGGCAGUCUUGAGUACAGUAGAGGUGGGCGGAAUUCGUGGUGGAGCGGUGAAAUGCUUAGAUAUCACGAAGAACUCCGAUUGCGAAGGCAGUUCACUGGACUGCAACUGACACUGAGGCUCGAAAGUGUGGGUAUCAAACAGGAUUAGAUACCCGAGUAGUC